rnacentral:lncRNA from 1 species
UGUGCUGUGAAGCAUUCAUCACGUGGUAAUUAAUUAUCUGUGGAUAUUGGUUUGGUUUAAUGCUUGUCAGACCAGAAGGUAGGGCCUUGUUCUCACUGGCCGGCAGAGGGGGUGGCUCAUGGAAGUUUCUACAGUAUUUUUGCUUGCUGACUAACCGACUUGAGCUUUGAGGCAAGGAUAGCCUCUGAUGAGAACCCUGGGGAAGUAAGCUUCCUGGGAGAAUAGUGGGGUGCAGGGAGGCCUGGAGAGGGGCUCACAGGUCUGAGCUGAGGGACAGAAUGUACUUACUCAAGUGGGAUAUCCACAGGGACUGUCUGGCUAAGGAGGAGGGAUGAGAUGUCACUUCCAGAAGUCUUCCCGAGUGCCACGGGUAGGGUGGUGACUCUGUGGCUGUCUGACCCCCCUGCCAUCUGCCCUAUCCAGAGGUAGUUUUGGCCUGAUACACAGCUGAGCAGAGAGAUGGAGUAAGGAGUAGGAUUUCUUGUCUGGACUGAAUGGAGGCCCCCGUUUCCAGGAUCCCAAAUGUCCCAAUGGAAAGUGCCAGGAGCUGCCAAUAGAUGUAUAGAGCUCAACUAAGUUAGCAGGAGAAUCUAGGAGGCAGGAUCCAUCACUAACCGUCCCUUUACAGAUGAAGAAACUGAAACUUUCAACAGAUAACCGGGUCACGUGAGAUUUCACAGCUAGUAAGCGAAGGAUCAGGAUAUGGCCCUCGCCUGUCUAGAGCAUAUGCACCACUGAGCCUCACUGAGAAGACCUUGACCUCUUUAUGCCGGGACUCCCCUGCCAAGGUCCUGGGAUUCCUCAUCCAGAUCUGGUACAAUGAGAGACAAGUGUUAGAUCGGAUGGAUGGAGAAUCAGGUAUUGGCCAUAUGGGUUUCCUCAUAUUUCCUCCCCUGAAUCAACUUCACAUCUUUUCUUGCUCAGCAUAGAACAAAACAAGUCUCCUGAAGGCAUCAUGGAGAAAGGGAGUCCAACGUAUGUCUGAAGGCUCUUGUUGGGCUUCAUGUCCAAAUGUACCCAUUUCUGGGUCCUUCUAUCUCAGUUGGGGCAGCAUGAAAGAGGGAGGAUUCUGAUUCUUCUAGGGUAUGAAAUUUCCCCCUAUAAAAAAACCCCAAGGACUGGGAGAUAAAUGGCCCCCCCCCUUACAAAAGAUUUUGGAUUAAUCUCCAGACGAGGAUUCCUGAAUCAAAGAGCAAAUGCAAUUUUAUGGCAUGGUGCCAAAUUGCUUUCCAAAAGAGCCGUACCUUUGUAUGUUCCUACAAACCAUGAAUGAAGCCGCCCAAAUUUUAAAUUGGCCAAAUUGCUUAAAUACUUUUAGCAUUAUUGUAUUCCAAUAAUAAGAUUGCUGAACAGAAAUCGUUGACUGUUCCCUGGUAGAGCUUGCCAAAACCCAACUAAUCAAAUUGGGUGUUAGCACCCUUAUACAGACAGUGGGGGCUGUCUGAACUGAAUCAGGCACCAGUUGGAAAGCAUGAAAUUACUGACUUUGUUUAAAUCUAACUGCAAUUUAUCUGAAAGAACAGCACUGAAAGGUGACAUUUGUCUUAGUGAGUUUCCCAUUCAUUUCUGGAGC